rnacentral:rRNA from 1 species
GACGAACGCUGGCGGCGUGCUUAACACAUGCAAGUCGAGCGGUAAGGCCCUUUCGGGGGUACGACGAGCGGCGAACGGGUGAGUAACACGUGGGUGACCUGCCCUCCAGCUCUGGGAUAAGCCUGGGAAACCGGGGUACUAAUACCGGAUAUGACUCCAUGACGCAUGUUGCGGGGUGGAAAGCCUUGUGCGGCUGAGGAUGGGCCCGCGGCCUAUCAGCUUGUUGGUGGGGG